GUACUUCCGCAGUCCUAACAACUAUUUAACCUUUUUCAUUUAACCAGGUUAACCUUUUUCAUUUAACCAGGUUAACCUUUUUCAUUUAACCAGGUUAACCUUUUAAUUUAACCUUUUAAUUUAACCAGGUUAACCUUUUAAUUUAACCAGGUUAACCUUUUAAUUUAACCAGGUUAACCUUUUAAUUUAACCAGGUUAACCUUUUAAUUUAACCUUUGUAGUUUAACCAGGUUAACUUUUUCAAUUAACCAGGUUAACCUGUUUAAUCUAACCAGGUUAACCUUUUCAUUUAACCAGGUUGUCCCAUUUUGACUUAAAACAAUCAUGAUAUUGAGGUCAAUAUCAGUGGGCUGUUAUAUUUUAAUACAGAUACUGUCGUUCGUAGCUUCACUUUUCUGUUCGAGACAACGCCGGUCCUUAUCAUUCAACAAACACACAGUGCACUGGUUCCUCUCUAUGUUUAUAAUCUCCACCCUUCAUAGCCUGGUUCCUCCUCUAGGUUUAUAAUCUCCACCCCUCAUAGCCUGGUUCCUCUCUAGGUUUAUAAUCUCCACCCCUCAUAGCCUGGUUCCUCUCUAGGUUUAUAAUCUCCACCCCUCAUAGCCUGGGUCCUCUCUAGGUUUAUGAUCUCCACCCCUCAUAGCCUGGUUCCUCUCUAGGUUUAUAAUCUCCACCCCUCAUAGCCUGGUUCCUCUCUAGGUUUAUAAUCUCCACCCCUCAUAGCCUGGGUCCUCUCUAGGUUUAUAAUCUCCACCCCUCAUAGCCUGGUUCCUCCUCUAGGUUUAUAAUCUCCACCCCUCAUAGCCUGGUUCCUCUCUAGGUUUAUAAUCUCCACCCCUCAGAGCCUGGUUCCUCUCUAGGUUUAUAAUCUCCACCCCUCAUAGCCUGGUUCCUCUCUAGGUUUAUAAUCUCCACCCCUCAUAGCCUGGUUCCUCCUCUAGGUUUAUAAUCUCCACCCCUCAUAGCCUGGUUCCUCUCUAGGUUUAUAAUCUCCACCCCUCAUAGCCUGGUUCCUCCUCUAGGUUUAUAAUCUCCACCCCUCAUAGCCUGGUUCCUCCUCUCGGUUUAUAAUCUCCACCCCUCAUAGCCUGCUUCCUCUCUAGGUUUAUAAUCUCCACCCCUCAUAGCCUGGUUCCUCUCUAGGUUUAUAAUCUCCACCCCUCAUAGCCUGGUUCCUCCUCUAGGUUUAUAAUCUCCACCCCUCAUAGCCUGGUUCCUCCUCUAGGUUUAUAAUCUCCACCCCUCAUAGCCUGGUUCCUCUCUAGGUUUAUAAUCUCCACCCCUCAUAGCCUGGUUCCUCUCUAGGUUUAUAAUCUCCACCCCUCAUAGCCUGGUUCCUCCUCUAGGUUUAUAAUCUCCACCCCUCAGAGCCUGGUUCCUCCUCUAGGUUUAUAAUCUCCACCCCUCAGAGCCUGGUUCCUCCUCUAGGUUUAUAAUCUCCACCCCUCAUAGCCUGGUUCCUCUCUAGGUUUAUAAUCUCCACCCCUCAUAGCCUGGUUCCUCCUCUAGGUUUAUAAUCUCCACCCCUCAUAGCCUGGUUCCUCCUCUAGGUUUAUAAUCUCCACCCCUCAUAGCCUGGUUCCUCUCUAGGUUUAUAAUCUCCACCCCUCAUAGCCUGGUUCCUCUCUAGGUUUAUAAUCUCCACCCCUCAUAGCCUGGUUCCUCUCUAGGUUUAUAAUCUCCACCCCUCAUAGCCUGGUUCCUCUCUAGGUUUAUAAUCUCCACCCCUCAUAGCCUGGUUCCUCUCUAGGUUUAUAAUCUCCACCCCUCAUAGCCUGGUUCCUCUCUAGGUUUAUAAUCUCCACCCCUCAUAGCCUGGUUCCUCUCUAGGUUUAUAAUCUCCACCCCUCAUAGCCUGGUUCCUCUCUAGGUUUAUAAUCUCCACCCCUCAUAGCCUGGUUCCUCUCUAGGUUUAUAAUCUCCACCCCUCAUAGCCUGGUUCCUCUCUAGGUUUAUAAUCUCCACCCCUCAUAGCCUGGUUCCUCUCUAGGUUUAUAAUCUCCACCCCUCAUAGCCUGGUUCCUCUCUAGGUUUAUAAUCUCCACCCCUCAUAGCCUGGUUCCUCUCUAGGUUUAUAAUCUCCACCCCUCAUAGCCUGGUUCCUCUCUAGGUUUAUAAUCUCCACCCCUCAUAGCCUGGUUCCUCUCUAGGUUUAUAAUCUCCACCCCUCAUAGCCUGCUUCCUCUCUAGGUUUAUAAUCUCCACCCCUCAUAGCCUGCUUCCUCUCUAGGUUUAUAAUCUCCACCCCUCAUAGCCUGGUUCCUCUCUAGGUUUAUAAUCUCCACCCCUCAUAGCCUGGGUCCUCUCUAGGUUUAUAAUCUCCACCCCUCAUAGCCUGGUUCCUCUCUAGGUUUAUAAUCUCCACCCCUCAUAGCCUGGUUCCUCUCUAGGUUUAUAAUCUCCACCCCUCAUAGCCUGGUUCCUCUCUAGGUUUAUAAUCUCCACCCCUCAUAGCCUGCCUGG